GUAGGUGGCAAGCGUUGUCCGGAAUUAUUGGGCGUAAAGCGCGCGCAGGCGGUUCUUUAAGUCUGAUGUGAAAGCCCACGGCUCAACCGUGGAGGGUCAUUGGAAACUGGAGAACUUGAGUACAGAAGAGGAAAGCGGAAUUCCACGUGUAGCGGUGAAAUGCGUAGAGAUGUGGAGGAACACCAGUGGCGAAGGCGGCUUUCUGGUCUGUAACUGACGCUGAGGCGCGAAAGCGUGGGGAGCAAACAGGAUUAGAUACCCUGUUAGUCCACGCCGUAAACGAUGAGUGCUAAGUGUUAGGGGGGUUUCCGCCCCCCUUAGUGCUGCAGCUAACGCAUUAAGCACUCCGCCUGGGAGUACGGCCGCAAGGCUG
rnacentral:rRNA from 1 species